rnacentral:rRNA from 1 species
CGCGUAGGCGGUUUUGUAAGUUGGAUGUGAAAGCCCCGGGCUUAACCUGGGAAUUGCAUUCAAAACUGCAAGGCUAGAGUGUGGUAGAGGGAAGUGGAAUUUCCGGUGUAGCGGUGAAAUGCAUAGAGAUCGGAAGGAACAUCAGUGGCGAAGGCGACUUCCUGGACCAACACUGACGCUGAGGUGCGAAAGCGUGGGUAGCAAACA